UACGAAGGGGGCUAGCGUUGCUCGGAAUCACUGGGCGUAAAGGGUGCGUAGGCGGGUCUUUAAGUCAGGGGGGAAAUCCUGGAGCUCAACUCCAGAACUGCCUUUGAUACUGGGAGUCUUGAGUUCGGGAGAGGUGAGUGGAACUGCGAGUGUAGAGGUGAAAUUCGUAGAUAUUCGCAAGAACACCAGUGGCGAAGGCGGCUCACUGGCCCGAUACUGACGCUGAGGUGCGAAAGCGUGGGGAGCAAACAGG
rnacentral:rRNA from 1 species